GACCAUCUGAACUGUUAGAAAAAUGGACUUGGCUGAUGCAGGGUUGUUGCAGAACUUCAAAUUGUAAAAAACGUAGUAUCUGUGGAGCAUAAUAAAAUGACAUAGGCCUGUGUUAAUCUUGACUUCUCGGCUUGGUACUGAUACCUUUCUUCCCUCUUCCAGGUUCUGUACACCUCCAUGGACCUUUUGGCCUUGGUUUGGGGGAACUUGAUGCAAACGAUGGCCCUGGAUGAUUGGGGGCCAGGAUGAAGUCUUAGUUCACACCUGCCUGAUCCAAAGAGCACCUCUCCUUAGAUAAAACUGGGAGGACUCUUGCCAGUUCCUGAGAAAGAGUUGCCUUUUCUCUUUCUACAAAGAUAUUCACUCAUUCAAGAAAUGUCGACUCAGUGGCAAUCAGAGUGUAGGCACUGAGGAGACAAAGGCAGACACUUCCCCUGUGCCUAUCUAAGGAGCAAAAUUUUCCUCUGUUCCUCUGUCCCAGAGGUGGCUGCUCUUUGUCUGCCUCUCCAGAGCCUCCUCUGAUCUUGGCUCCUAGGCGCUAUAUUGUUUUUUCACAGCAAGUUCCUAUGCUAAAGUCCUAACCCCCCAGUGGACCCUAAUCCUCUGUGGCUCAUGUCCUUAUCAGACCAGGACAUGCAGAGAAAAGACCACAAGAAGACAUGAGAAGACUGCCAUCUUUAAGCCAAAGAGAGAGGCCACCAAGGAAACCAACCCUGGUGACAGCUUAAUCUCAGACUCCAGAACUGUGAGAAAAUCUCUGUUGUUUGAACCCUCCAGUCAAUGGCAUAUUACUGUUGCAGUCUAGAGGACCAAGGACUCAUUUGGAUCUUUUAGAAAUGCUGGAUGGAUGGCUAUGAUGCUUAUAAGGAUGGAUGAGUGGGGGCUGGGGGUGGGGUAAGGGAAGAAAGAGGGAUCCUCAGUCAGCCCCUCCUCACCUGGUGGGAGGCCUCUGCCCAGUGGCAUACUCACUGUCCACUUUCUCAAUCUGCUUCCUUUGGGUGUAGACGGAUCAGUGGGGUUUGGGAUUUUUCUAGGGUGAGGGGUAAGGUUAGGGGCUCCUUUUCCUCUGCCACAGUGAAUUCUCUUUAGAGCUUCUCUUUCGUUUUUUCCUGGGGUGGGGGGAAGGGAGCUUCAUUCCACUGCAUCUGCCCAAAGGAUUUCCAUUCCUCGUUUUCUUUGGUCCCUGGGCAGGACUCAGCUUCUCUGAAAGUUUCAGUCUUGUACUGGGUCAUGCCCUUUGCUACCUCUUGCUAUCUCUGUUAUAGUUUGAAUAUGGGUGUCCCUUAAAAGGGCUAUUGUGUAGUUUAGUCCCUAGGUGGUGCUAUUGGGAGGUGCUGUGGACCUUUUUAGUAGGUGGGGCCUUGUGGGAGGUCCUUACAUUAUCAGUGCAUGCCCUGGAAGAGCAUCAUGGGACCCCUUUUUCUUUGCUUCCUGGUUAAUAAGGUGUUUUUCUCUGCUGCAUCAGCUUAUCAUGAUGUGCUACUCUUGCCUGCGGCCCAGUGAAUUGGACCAUUUGAUCAUGGAGUGGAACUUCGGAAUCAUAAGCUAAAAUAAACCUUUUCUUUUUACAGAUUGCCUCAGGUAUUGCAUUAUUGCAAUGGAAAACUGACCAAUAUACCUCCAAGUGUUUGUUCAGGCCAUUCACUCUGCUAGGAGUAUCUUCUGCCACUCACCAGCCUCACUGACUGUUCAACCCAUUGCAGUCCUGCGAGAGACAUGACAAUAUCCAACAGUGGGCUGGUCAAUGUGUAACAAAGCCUCUUAGAACAAGUAAAACAAAAGAAAUCCUGAUUUGUUGCAUUUGUUGACUUCCAUGGUAUAAAUACUCUCAUCAUGGCCAAUUUCUACUGAAGUGAAGCCUCUGAACAGGCAGUUGAAUUGGGAAGGGACAUUUCUAUAGCACAUCACUGUAUUGUAUUCCUGCUAUUGAGAUACAAUAGAUGUAAAUAAGAGUAAAAUACAAUAACUA
rnacentral:lncRNA from 1 species